UACGUAGGGUGCAAGCGUUGUCCGGAAUUAUUGGGCGUAAAGAGCUCGUAGGCGGUUUGUCACGUCGGAUGUGAAAACCCGAGGCUUAACCUCGGGCCUGCAUUCGAUACGGGCUGACUAGAGUUCGGUAGGGGAGACUGGAAUUCCUGGUGUAGCGGUGAAAUGCGCAGAUAUCAGGAGGAACACCGGUGGCGAAGGCAGCUCUCUGGGACGGUACUGACGCUGAGACGCGAAAGCGUGGGGAGCGAACAGG
rnacentral:rRNA from 1 species